rnacentral:rRNA from 1 species
GUGGGGAAUAUUGGACAAUGGGCGCAAGCCUGAUCCAGCCAUGCCGCGUGAGUGAUGAAGGCCUUAGGGUUGUAAAGCUCUUUCACCGAUGAAGAUAAUGACGGUAGUCGGAGAAGAAGCCCCGGCUAACUUCGUGCCAGCAGCCGCGGUAAUACGAAGGGGGCUAGCGUUGUUCGGAUUUACUGGGCGUAAAGCGCACGUAGGCGGUUUGUUAAGUCAGAGGUGAAAUCCCGGAGCUCAACUCCGGAACUGCCUUUGAUACUGGCAAGCUAGAGUACGGAAGAGGUAAGUGGAACUCCUAGUGUAGAGGUGGAAUUCGUAGAUAUUAGGAAGAACACCAGUGGCGAAGGCGGCUUACUGGUCCGGAACUGACGCUGAGGUGCGAAAGCGUGGGGAGCAAACAGGAUUAGAUACCCGGGUAGUCC